CCAAGGUACAGGAUGGCAGGCAGGCUCAGGUCAAGCAGAGGUCAACAGUCCAGAGCAGGGGCCAAGGUACAGGACGGCAGGCAGGCUCAGGUCAAGCAGAGGUCAGCAGUCCAGAGCAGGGGCCAAGGUACAGGACGGCAGGCAGGCUCAGGACAGGCAAGGGUCAAAACCAGGAGGACGAGGGAAAAAGAGAGACUGAGGAAAAGCGCUGGUUGACUUAAACAAACAAGACGAACUGGCACAGAUAGACAGAAAACACAGGUAUAAAUACACAGGGGAUAAGUGGGUAAGAUGGGUGACACCUGGAGGGGGAUGGAGACAAGCACAAAGACAGGUGAAACAGAUCAGGGUGUGACAGUAUCCUUACUCCCUUAGAGUUAAUUAGUCCUCUCUCUCUAGCCUUGUCAGGUACAGUCAUACUCCAAACUGUUCACUGAAGAGAAUUUAAACUGUUUCAUCUCUUUUCAGUUAUUUUUGGAUUAGUGUGGCUAGUGAGUUUACACUGAGUGUACAAAACAUUAGGAACACCUGCUCUUUCAAUGAGACUGACCAGGUUAAAGAUAUGAUCCCUUAUUGAUGUCACUUGUUAAAUCCACUUCAAUCAGUGUAGAUGAAGGGGAGGAGACGGGUUAAAGAAGGAUUUUUAAGCCUUGAGACGUGAGACAUGGAUUGUGUAUGUGUGCCAUUCAGAGGGUGAAUGGGAAAGACCAAAUAUUUAAGUGCCUUUGAACAGGGUAUGGUAGUAGGUGUCAGGUGCACCAGUUUGUGUCAAGAACUGCAACACUGCUGGGUUUUUCACGCUCAACAGUUUCAAUCAAUCAAUCAAUCAAUCAAUCAAAUGUAUUUAUAGAGCCCUUUUUACAACAGCAGUUGUCACAAAGUGCUUAUACAGAAACAGGCAUAAAACCCCAGAGAGCAACCAAUGCAGGUGUAGAAGCACGGUGGCUAGGAAAAACUCCCUAGAAAGGCUGGAACCUAAGAAGAAACCUAGAGAGGAACCAGGCUCUGAGGGGGUGGCCAGUCCUCUUCUGGCUGUGCCGGGUGGAGAUUAUAACAGAACAUGGCCAUUUAAGGCCAGAUUGUUCUUCAAGAUUUUCAAACGUUCAUAGAAGACCAGCAGGGUCAAAUAAUAAUCAGUGAUUUUAGAGGGUGCGAGAGGUCAGCACCUUAGGAGUUAAUGUCAGUUGGCUUUUCAUAGCCGAGCAUCCAGAGGCCGAGACAGCAUGUGCAGGGGGGGGUCUAGUGAACAGGUCAGGGUUCCAUAGCCGCAGGCAGAACAGUAGAAAAUGGAGCAGCAGCACGACCAGGUGGACUAGGGACGGGGACAGCCAGGAGUCGUCAUGCCAGGAAGUCCUGAGGCAUGUUCCUAAGGCUCAGGUCCUCCGGGAGGGGAGAGAGAGAGAUGGGAGAAUUAGAGAGAGCAUACUUGCGUUCAUACAGGACACCAGAGAUUUACACCAGAAAAGACAGAAGAUUUACACCGGAUAAGACAGGAGAUUUACACCAGUUAUGAGACUGAACCUAGCCCCCCCCCCCAGCACAUAGACUAUUGCAGCAUAGAUACUGGAGACUGUAUCAAGAAUGGUCCACCACCCAAAGGACAUCCAGCCAUGUUGACAUGACUGUGGGAAGCAAUGGAGUGAACAUGGGCCAUCAUCCUUGUGGAACGCCUUCGACACCUUGUAGAAUUGAGGCUGUUCUGAGGGCAAAAGGGGGGUGCAACUCAAUAUUAGGAAGGUGUUCCUAAUGUUUUGUACACUGUUGUCAUCAUUCGAAAGACUUGCUUUCCACCCACAUGAGAUACCAUAUUUCUGUCAAUAUCCCAUUUUCUCUCUCAUAUUUUCUACUGCAUUACAGUACAGUCCAUGUUACAGUACAGUCCAUGUUACAGUACAGUACAGUCCAUGUUACAGUCCAUGUUACAGUACAGUCCAUGUUACAGUCCAUGUUACAGUUCAUUACAUGUUACAGUCCAUGUUACACCACAGUCCAUGUUACAGUCCAUGUUACACUACAGUCCAUGUUACACUACAGUCCAUGUUACACUUCAGUCCAUGUUACAGUACAGUCCAUGUUACAGUCCAUGUUACACUACAGUCCAUGUUACAGUAUAGUCCAUGUUACAGCCCAUGUUACACUACAGUCCAUGUUACAGUCCAUGUUACAGUACAGUCCAUGUUACACUACAGUCCAUGUUACAGUCCAUGUUACACUACAGUCCAUGUUACAGUCCAUGUUACACUACAGUCCAUGUUACACUUCAGUCCAUGUUACAGUACAGUCCAUGUUACAGUCCAUGUUACACUACAGUCCAUGUUACACUACAGUCCAUAUUACACUACAGUCCAUGUUACACUACAGUCCAUGUUACACUACAGUCCAUGUUACAGUCCAUGUUACACUACAGUCCAUGUUACACUUCAGUCCAUGUUACAGUACAGUCCAUGUUACAGUCCAUGUUACACUACAGUCCAUGUUACACUACAGUCCAUGUUACACUACAGUCCAUGUUACAGUCCAUGUUACAGUCCAUGUUACACUACAGUCCAUGUUACACUACAGUCCAUGUUACACUACAGUCCAUGUUACAGUCCAUGUUACAGUAUAUAAUAACAGUCACAGCAGACUCUGGCAACAUCCCAAAUGGCGCCUUAUUCCCUAUAUAGUGCACUACCUUUGAUCAGAGCCCUACACUACAUAGGGAAUAGGGUGCUAUUUGGGACGCGACAUCUCUUACUCUAUGGGUGAAUAACAGUCUCCGUUAAGCCCUGCGUUAAAAUGUUCUCAUGUUGAGGACCACUAUGGUGGAUUUAUAGGUGAUGGUUCUCCUGUUGAGGACCACUAUGGUGGAUUUAUUGAUGAUGGUUGAGGACCACUAUGGUGGAUUUAUAGGUGAUGGUUGAGGACCACUAUGGUGGAUUUAUAGGUUAUGGUUCUGUUGAGGACCACUAUGGUGGAUUUAUAGGUGAUGGUUGAGGACCACUAUGGUGGAUUUAUAGGUGAUGGUUCUCCUGUUGAGGACCACUAUGGUGGAUUUAUAGGUGAUGGUUCUCCUGUUGAGGACCACUAUGGUGGAUGUAUAGGUGAUAGUUGAGGACCACUAUGGGGGAUGUAUAGGUGAUGGUUGAGGACCACUAUGGUGGAUUUAUAGGUGAUGGUUCUCCUGUUGAGGACCACUAUGGUGGAUUUAUAGGUGAUGGUUCUCCUGUUGAGGACUACUAUGGUGGAUGUAUAGGUGAUGGUUCUCCUGUAUACAUUAGAUAUCUGAUGCCUAUACUGUACCAUUCUGCCCUCCAUGGAACUAAUCAUACGUUAGUAGUGUACGUCCCUGCUGGCACUGAUCAGUGCUGGUUGGUUUCCCCCUCUAGUUAAAAUGGAGGCUGUGUGUUAACGCCUAGAGGGGAUAGUCCAGAAGCACUAGUGUUUUCUGACUGAACAGAGAGGAAAUAGAUCCUCCCUCUAGCUCAGCCCGUCUGAGUCGUCUUUUGGUUUUGUUUUCCUGUUUGAUAAGUGAAAGGACCGGGUCAGAAUCAGGAAUGUUAAGAAAGAGGACAUUUGACGGUAGUGGUGCUAUCGGGGCAGCUCCACUGUAUAGUACAAAUAGUUAAUGAAUGGCUCCCUGUGUUUCUUUUGGGUCAAUUUGAAUAUGUGCUUUUAAUUGGUCUCUGUAGGUCUCUGUCUUCUCUCUCUCUCUCUCUCUCUCUCUCUCUCUCUCUCUCUCUCUCUCUCUCUCUCUCUCUCUCUCUCUGUCUCUGUCUCUGUCUCUGUGUCUGUGUCUCUCUCUCUGUCUUCUUUCUUUCUCCUUGUCUCUUCCCUCUCUCUCUCUCUCUCUCUCUCUCUCACCAUGACUGACUAGCUUCUCUUUCACUCACUCACUCACUCACUCACUCACUCACUCACUCACUCACUCACUCACUCACUCACUCACUCACUCACUCACUCACUCACUCACUCACUCACUCACUCACUCACUCACCACGACUGACUAGCUGCUCUCUCUCUUUCACCAAGACACACACACACACACACACACACACACACACACACACACACACACACAUACAUACAUACAGGUGUAUGGUGCCAGUCUGAUGUAAUGUCAAGCAAUGGAGCAGUGAUAGACACCAAUUAUCAUCCUAGUUAUUCAUUAUUUUCUGUCUUACAACUUAAUACUCUUUUAAUUGAAUGUCUAUUAAUUGAUGUGCUCCUGAGUCCAUACUUGGUAAUAUAAUCCACCAAGGAGAUGUCAAAGACAAAAGUCUUUAUUAUCUUAAGGAGAGGAGUCUACUGAGAUGUUAAAGUCCCCUGCUCAGUCGGUGUAUCUCGUUAUAAAACGGACAUCCUGUCAAAUGAAAAUGACAACGUAUCAUCAUCCGUAUUAAAAAGGGGUAAAGGAAUUGCUAUUAAAUAAUGAACUCAGCCGUGCUCUUGUUGUAAUGUCAGCCUGCUUAUAUAGGGGGUGUGAUUAUGGUAUUUUAUGAAGCGUCUUCUCAACGAGGAGUAAAAACCAAGCUUCAAGGUUAAAUGUGUGAAGGCCAAGCGUUUGGAGGGUGAGGCGGUGCGAGGGGAGGGUUGAUAAAUUUCACAUCCCGUAAUGUGAUUUGCGAUAUCUCCUCUUCUCCUGCCCUUGGUAGUGGGAGAUGUGGCGAGGUAUUAUUAACGACGCUCUGCCGUGUAAGUGUUUACAGAAAUAUUAAACAGAAUCGAUGAGAGAAGGUGUGGAUGAUUACAAAUUCACCAUCAUUCCAGCUUCCCAGCUUGAUGUUUCGUUACUGAAUACAAAUUCACUGGUUAAACCACUGGUGUGCAGUAGUAAAAAUGAGUGUAGAGAGACACCGCAAACACGUGAGGACCAGGAUGGGCGGUAGUUCCAGGAAGACAUCAGAGAGCAUAAUUCAUUCCAGGGCAUUCUAUAAGACCAGGGUGUGUGUGUGUGUGUGUGUGUGUGUGUGUGUGUGUGAGAAGGCUGUUCAUUGACUACAGCUCAGCGUUCAACACCAUAGUGCCCACGAAGCUCAUCACUAAAGUAAGGACCCUGAGACUAAACACCUCCCUCUGCAACUGGAUCCUGGACUUCCUGACGGGCCACCCCCAGGUGGUAAGAGUAGGCAACAACACGUCUGCCACGCUGAUCCUUAACACUGGAGCCCCUCAGGGGUGUGCACUUAGUCCCCUCCUGUAUUCCCUGUUUACCCACGACUGCGUGGCCAAACACGACUCCAACACCAUCAUUAAGUUUGCUGACGACACAAUAGUGGUAGGCCUGAUCACCGACAACGAUGAGACAGCCUAUAGCGAGGAGGUCAGAGACCUGGCAGUGUGGUGCCAGGACAACAACCUCUCCCUCAACGUGAGCAAGACAAAGGAGCUGAUCAUGGACUACAGGAAAAGGCGGGCCGAACAGGCCCCCAUUAACAUCGACGGGGCUGUAGUGGAGCGGGUCGAGAGUUUCAAGUUCCUUGGUGUCCACAUCACCAACAGACUAUCAUGGUCCAAACACACCAAGACAGUCGUGAAGAGGGCACAGCAAAACCUUUUCCCCCUCAGGAGACUGAAAAGAUUUGGCAUGGGUCCCUAGAUCAUCAAAAGUUUCUACAGUUGCACCAUCGAGAGCAUCCUGACCGGUUGCAUCACUGCCUGGUAUGGCAACUGCUCGGCAUCUGAGCAUAAGGCGCUACAGAGGGUAGUGCGAACGGCCUAGUACAUCACUGGGGCCAAGCUUCCUACCAUCCAGGACCUAUAUACCAGGCGGUGUCAGAGGAAGGCCCAUAAAAUUGUCAGAGACUCCAGUCACCCAAGUCAUAGACUGUUCUCUCUGCUACCGCACGGUAAGCGGUUCCGGAGCGCCAAGUCUAGGUCCGAGAGGCUUCUGAACAGCUUCUGCCCCCCCAAGCCAUAAGACUCCUGAACAGCUAAUCAAAUGGCUACCCUGACUAUUUGCAUUCCCCCCCCUCUCCUCCUGUUUUACACCACUGCUCCUCUCUGUUGUUAUCAUCUAUGCAUAGUCACUUUAAUACGUUUACAUACACCUUAGCCAAAUACAUUUAAACUCCGUUUUUCACAAUUCCUGACAUUUAAUCCUAGUAAAGAAUUCCCUGUUUUAGGUCAGUUAGGAUCACCACUUUAUUUUAAGAAUGGCUAGCUACUAGUACUGUUAGCUAGCCAGAUAGCCACAAAUAAUAGUUAGCUAGCCAGCUACCCACAAAGAAUUGGUAUCUACCUUGCAUAACGUUAGUUUUAGGUCAUAUAGUGUACAUAUACUGUAUCUAGCUGAUAGUUAUGAAGUAAUACGUUUGCUUUUUGUAUAUCUUGUUUGGUCUCUAUUGUUGUCAUUGUCCUGGCUGGAAGAAUGUUCAGUGAAUGGAGAGGUGCAGCGUGAGGUAAUACAGUAGGGGGGAGUGCUGCUCAGCGUGAGGUAAUAUAGUAGGGGGAGUGCUGCUCAGCGUGAGGUAAUACAGUAGGGGGAGUGCUGCUCAGCGUGAGGUAAUAUAGUAGGGGGAGUGCUGCUCAGCGUGAGGUAAUACAGUAGGGGGAGUGCUGCUCAGCGUGAGGUAAUACAGUAGGGGGAGUGCUGCUCAGCGUGAGGUAAUACAGUAGGCGGUGUGCUGCUCGUCGUGAGGUAAUACAGUAGAGGGAGUGCUGCUCGGCGUGAGGUAAUACAGUAGAGGGAGUGCUGCUCAGCGUGAGGUAAUACAGUAGAGGGAGUGCUGCUCGUUCUGAGGUAAUACAGUAGGGGGAGUGCUGCUCGGCGUAAGGUAAUACAGUAGGGGGAGUGCUGCUCGGCGUGAGGUAAUACAGUAUGGGGAGUGCUGCUCAGAGUGAGGUAAUACAGUAUGGGGAGUGCUGCUCAGUGUGAGGUAAUACAGUAGGGGGAGUGCUGCUCGGCGUGAGUUAAUACAAUAGGGGGAGUGCUGCUCAGCGUGGGGUAAUACAGUAGGGGGAGUCCUGCUCAGCGUGAGGUAAUACAGUAGGGAGAGUGCUGCUCAGCGUGAGGUAAUACAGUAGGGGGAGUGCUGCUCAGCGUGAGGUAAUACAGUAGGGGGAGUGCUGCUCAGCGUGAGGUAAUACAGUAGGGGGAGUGCUGCUCAGCGUGAGGUAAUACAGUAGAGGGAGUGCUGCUCAGCGUGAGGUAAUACAGUAGGGGGAGUGCUGCUCAGCGUGAGGUAAUACAGUAGGGGGAGUGCUGCUCAGAGUGAGGUAAUACAGUAUGGGGAGUGCUGCUCAGAGUGAGGUAAUACAGUAUGGGGAGUGCUGCUCGGCGUGAGGUAAUACAGUAGGGGGAGUCCUGCUCAGCGUGAGGUAAUACAGUAGGGAGAGUGCUGCUCAGCGUGAGGUAAUACAGUAGGGGGAGUGCUGCUCAGCGUGAGGUAAUACAGUAGGGGGAGUGCUGCUCAGCGUGAGGUAAUACAGUAGGGGGAGUGCUGCUCAGCGUGAGAUAAUACAGUAGGGGGAGUGCUGCUCAGCGUGAGGUAAUACAGUAGGGGGAGUGCUGCUCAGCGUGAGGUAAUACAGUAGGGGGGAGUGCUGCUCAGCGUGAGGUAAUACAGUAGAGGGAGUGCUGCUCAGCGUGAGGUAAUACAGUAGGGGGAGUGCUGCUCAGCGUGAGGUAAUACAGUAGGGGGAGUGCUGCUCAGCGUGAGGUAAUACAGUAGGGGGAGUGCUGCUCAGCGUGAGAUAAUACAGUAGGGGGAGUGCUGCUCAAAUGGAAUGUUUUAUGUGCUCUCCACACUCUCAUCCUCAGAAGAAGGUACUCAAGAGAACGUACUCAGAGCAUGAGAGUGUGGAGCGUGGUAGUAUGCAUAUUGAGAAACAGACAGAGAUAGACACAGAGUGUGUGUGUGUGUGUGUGUGUGUGUUACUCUGCUCGACCGUCGUUGAUUACUCAUCUGAAUUAGCCAACAGACUACAGGUCACCUUCCUCAUUGACCGACAUGAUAGAUGAUACAACGUUAGUAGUCUGUAUGCCUGUGUGUCAGUGCAUGAUACUGUGUCCAGCACUGCAUGUCAGAGCUCAGUAAUCCAUGCUACGGUUCAGCUGUGUCCAUGAUGCAGUCUCUGUCUCACACACACACACACACACACACACACACACACACACACACACACACACACACACACACACACACACACACACACACACACUCUGUGUCUAUCUCUGGCUGUUUCUCAAUAUGCAUACUACCACGCUCCACACUCUCAUGCUCUGAGUCUGUCCGGCUCCAUAGGGUAGCACAGAGUGUGUGUGUGUGUGUGCGCGUGUGUGUACAGUAGGGAUGGGUUUUUGAAAUAAUUUCACUAUUCGAAUAGUAUCAUGAAUUUUUGUUGGAUACCUGAAAUACAUGUGUUUUUGUAAACAUACGAUUUUUAACCUGAGCACUGCUGCGCGAGGAAAUGAGGCUGGCGUUCGAUUGUUGCAGCUGUGGAGGGGAUGGUAUGUGAGAUGGGAGCGAGCAGACGGAGGGAGAGAGGGAGCAGUAGCCAAAGCAACUCGGCUACAGCCAAAACUAGAUAACUUGCAGCAGCCAACUAGCUAGCUAGGCUAUUUGAGGCUACAGCCAAGACUAGCUAACUUGCAACAGCCAACUAGCUAGCUAGGCUAAUUGAGGCUACAGCCAAGACUAGCUAACUUGCAGCAGCCAACUAGCUAGCUAGGCUAAUUGAGGCUACAGCCAAGACUAGCUUACUUGCAGCAGCCAACUAGCUAGCUAGGCUAAUUGAGGCUACAGACAAGACUAGCUAACUUGCAGCAGCCAACUAGCUAGCUAGGCUAAUUGAGGCUACAGCCAAGACUAGCUAACUUCCAGCAGCCAACUAGCUAGCUAGGCUAAUUGAGGCUACAUGCUGUGCUUUCUCCAUAACCCCAUUCAGAUAAAACCACAGCCUACCUCGUCGUAGUCUACUCCUUCUCAUUUCACUAACUUUUAAAUCAAUAAUUUAAUUACAUCUUGCAUUGUGUUAGAGAACUCUCACUCCUCUUGGUACACAUUGAGCCUCUUUGUCACUUUGAUUUGCCAACAUAAACAAGCUAUACACGUGACGGCUACAAGUCUUUGUUAGGGGGCGCAGGGCUCCCGAGUGGGGCAGUGGUCUAAGGCACUGCAUCUCAGUACUAGAGGCAUCACUACAGACACACCCUGGUUCGAAUCCAGGUUGUAUCACCACCGGCCGUGAUUGGGAGUCCCAUAGGGCGUCGUCCGGGUUUGACUGGUGUAGGCUGUCAUUGUAAAUAAGAAUUUGUUCUUAACUGACUUGCCUAGUUAAAUGAAGGUCAAAUAAAUAAAUAUAUACUGUAUUUAUAGUCCACAUAUUCUAAGUCAGAACAGUCCAGAGCAGUUAAUCUAGUCGGGCAGGCGGGUGUGGGCAGCGAUUGGUUCAAGAGCAUGCAUUUCGUUUUACUUGCAUUUAAGAGCAGUUGGAUACCACGGAAGGAGUGUUGUAUGGCAUUGAAGCUCGUUUGGAGGUUUGUUAGCACAGUGUCCAAAGAAGGGCCAGAUGUAUACAUUAUGGUGACGUCUGCGUAGAGGUGGAUCAAAGAAUCACCCGCACCAAGAGCGACAUCAUUGAUAUAUACAGAGAAGAGAGUCGGCCCGAGAAUUGAACCCUGUGGCACCCCCAUAGAGACUGCCAGAGGUCCAGACAACAGGCCCUCCGAUUUGACACACUGAACUCUGUCUGAGAAGUAGAUAUGAACCACGUGAGGCAGUCAUUUGAGACACCAAGGCUGUUGAGUCUCCUGCUAAGAGUACAGUGAUUGAUAGAGUCGAAAGCCUUGGCCAGGUCGAUGAAGACAGCUGCACAGUACUGUCUUUUAUCGAUGGCGGUUAUGAUAAGGUUUAGGACCUUGAGUAUGGCUGAGGUGCACCCGUGACCAGCUCGGAAACCAGAUUGCAUAGCGGAGAAGGUACGAUGGGAUUCGAAAUGGUCGGUGAUCUGUUUGUUCACUUGGCUUUCGAAGACAUUUGAAAGGCAGGGCAGGAUGAAUAUAGGUCUGUAACAGUUUGGGUCUAGAGUGUCUCCCCUUUGAAGAGGGGGAUGACCGCGGCCGCUUUCCAAUCUUUAUGAAUCUCAGACGGUACGAAAGAGAGGUUGAACAGACUAGUAAUAGGGGUUGCAACAAUGGCGGCGGAUACUUUUAGGAAGAGAGGGUCCAGAUUGUCUAGCCCAGCUGAUUUUUAGGGGUCCAGGUUUUACAGCUCUUUAAGAACAUUUGCUAUCUGGAUUUGGGUGAAGGAGAAGCAGGGGGGGCUUGGGCCAGUAGCUACGGGGGAUGCAGGGCUGUUGGCCGGGGUUGGGGUAGCCAGGUGGAAAGCAUGGCCAGCCGUAGAGAAAUGCUUAUUGAAAUUCUCAAUUAUCAUGGAUUUAUCAGUGGUGACAGUGUUUCCUAUCCUCAGUGCAGUGGGCAGCUGGGAGGAGGUGCUCUUAUGCUCCAUGGACUUUACAGUGUCCCAAAACUUUUGGGAAUUAGUGCUGCAGGAUGCAAAUUUCUGUUUGGAAAAGCUAGCCUUUGCUUUCCUAACUGACUGUGUGUAUUGGUUCCUGACUUCCCUGAAAAGUUUAAUAUUGCGGGGACUAUUAGAAGCUAGUGCAGUACGCCACAGGAUGUUUUUGUGCUGGUGAAGGGCAGUCAAGUCUGGAGUGAACUAAGGGCUAUAUCUGUUCUUAGUUCUACAUUUUUGCUUAUUUAAGAUGGUGAGGAAAGCACUUUUAAAGAACAACCAGGCAUCCUCAACUGACGGGAUGAGGUCAAUAUCCAGUUUGAUUAGAAAGGCCUUCUCGCUGAAUUAUUUUAGGGAGCGUUUGACAGUGAUGAGGGGUGGUCGUUUGACCGCGGACCCAUAACGGAUGCAGGCAAUGAGGGAGUGAUCACUGAGAUCCUGGUUGAAAACAGCAGAGGUGUAUUUAGAGGGCAAGUUGGUCAGGAUGAUAUCUAUGAGGGUGCCCAUGGUUUCGGAUUUGGGGUUGUACCUGGUGGGUUCCUUGAUAAUUUGUGUGAGAUUGAGGGCAUCUAGUUUAGAUUGUAGGAUGGCUGGGGUGUUAAGCAUAUCCCAAUUUAGGUCACCUAGCAGUACGAAUUCUGACGAUAGAUGAGGGGGCAAUCAAUUCACAAAUGGUGUCCAGGGCACAGCUGGGAGCUGAGGCGGGUCUAUAACAAGCGGCAACAGUGAGGGACUUAUUUCUGGAGAGAUGGAUCUUUAAAAGUAGAAGCUCGAACUGUUUGGGCAUAGACCUGGAUAGUAUGACAGAACUCUGCAGGCUAUCUCUGCAGUAGAUUGCAACUCCACCCCCUUUAGCAGUUCUGUCUUGACGGAAAAUGUUGUAAUUGGGGAUGGAAAUUUGAGGAUUUUAGGUUGCCUUCCUAAGCCAGGAUUCCGAAACGUUUAGGACAUCAGGGUUGGCAGAGUGUGCUAAAGCAGUGAAUAAAACAAACUUAGGGAGGAGACUUCUGAUGUUAACAUGCAUGAACCCAAGGCUUAAACUCCAGAGGUGAGGUCUAAUGGCAGCAGAACUACAGUAAACCCCAGAGGUGAGGUCUAAUGGCAGCAGAACUACAGUAAACCCCAGAGGGGAGGUCUAAUGGCAGCAGAACUACAGUAAACCCCAGAG
rnacentral:lncRNA from 1 species